rnacentral:misc_RNA from 1 species
GAAAUGCGAUAAGUAAUGUGAAUUGCAGAAUUCCGUGAAUCAUUAAAUCUUUGAACGCAAAUUGCACUUCUUGGUAUUCCGAGAAGUAUGCUUGCUUGAGGGUUGGUCUACAAAAAAAUCGUGAAAAUUUUUUUUUCGCGGAUCUGGGUUUUCCAAAGACUUUUUUGGUAACCUUAAAUUCAUCUUAACAAUCUUAGGUAUUGAUAUUAGAAAUGUUUUAUCUUACAUAUCGUGAGUUCAUUGAUAAUUAUACCAAUUGUUACGUCGCGUUAUUCGCCUAUCUUUCGAUCUGGUGAAAUAAUUCAAUAUUUUUUAAUCCUACCUCAAGUCAAGUAAGAAUACCCGCUGAACUUAA